rnacentral:rRNA from 1 species
GACGAACGCUGGCGGCGUGCCUAAUACAUGCAAGUAGAACGCUGAAGGAGGAGCUUGCUUCUCUGGAUGAGUUGCGAACGGGUGAGUAACGCGUAGGUAACCUGCCUGGUAGCGGGGGAUAACUAUUGGAAACGAUAGCUAAUACCGCAUAACAGUAGAUAUCGCAUGAUAUCUACUUGAAAGGUGCAAUUGCAUCACUACCAGAUGGACCUGCGUUGUAUUAGCUAGUUGGUGAGGUAACGGCUCACCAAGGCGACGAUACAUAGCCGACCUGAGAGGGUGAUCGGCCACACUGGGACUGAGACACGGCCCAGACUCCUACGGGAGGCAGCAGUAGGGAAUCUUCGGCAAUGGACGGAAGUCUGACCGAGCAACGCCGCGUGAGUGAAGAAGGUUUUCGGAUCGUAAAGCUCUGUUGUAAGAGAAGAACGAGUGUGAGAGUGGAAAGUUCACACUGUGACGGUAGCUUACCAGAAAGAGACGGCUAACUACGUG